rnacentral:lncRNA from 1 species
GGAUUUCUCAAUUUAUAUAAAUGGCUCUUACUGAAAUAUGUUUAAUAUAAUUCUUGGAGUUCUAAUUCUCCAACUAACUAGAAUACGAAAUAAAAAUCUAGGAAAGGUUGUAAUCAUAGUUCCCACGGCCAUGGAAUUGCAUUUGCUGCAAACCCAAUUCAUUCUGCCAAUUCUGCUUGUAUUUUUCUCAAUAUCAAUUUCGAGUUCUACAUCAGAUGUAAAUUCCACAAUAGCGAGGCCCAACUGUAUGAAUCAUUGUGGAGAUAUAAAAAUUCCAUUCCCUUUNNN